UGUCAAUAAAGUUAAUUCAAACCCAAGUGUUGUACAUCACAAAGGCAUCUUUUAAAUAUAUAAUUGCAUAUGCGUACCUCCAUCUUCUAAUUGUUCCUCCACCUGCUGCUUGCUUUCACAGCAUAUUCCAACAUCAUCUGCGAACAUCAUGGUCCAAGGUAAUUCCAGUCUAACCUCAUCUGUCAGCCUAUCCAUUACCACUGCAAACAGGAAGGGGCUCAGAACUUAUCCCUGAUUCAGUACCAUCUCCACCUUAAAAUAUUCUGUCACACCUAUCAGGCACACCUCACCAUUUUUCUGCUGCCAUACAUGUCCUGUACUAUUCUAACAUAUUUCUCCGCCACACCGGACUUGUGCAUGCAGUACCACAGUUCCUCUCUUCAUACUCUGUCAUAGGAUUUUUCUACAUCCACAAAGGCACAAUAUUGCUCCUUCUGACCUUCUCUCUACUUUUCCACUUGCAUCCUUAAAGAAAAUAAUGCAUCUGUGAUAUUCUUUCUAGACAUGAAGCCAUACUGUUGCUCGCAGAUACUUACUUCUGUCCCGAGUCUAGCCCCCACUACUCUUUCCCAUAACUUUAUUGUGUGGCUCAUCAACUUUAUUCCUCAAUAAUUCCCACAGCUCUGUACAUCGCCUUUGUUUUUAAAAAUGGAACGAGUACACUUUUCCUCCAUUCUUCUGACAUAUUUUUGCCCGCUCGUUUUCUGUUGAAUAAGUUGGUCAAAAACUCCACAGCCACCUCACCAAAUUGCUUCCAUACCCACAUUGGUAUGUCAUCGAGAUCAACUGUCUUUCCCUUUUUCAUUCUGUUCAGUGCCUUUCUAACUUCUCCCUUACUAAUCAAUGCCACAUCCUGGUCAUUCAUGCUUGCCUCUUCUACCUUCUCUCCAAUUUUCUUCAUUCAUUACCUAUUCAAAGUACUCUUUCCAUCUACGUGGCACACUACUGGCACCAGUCAACACAUUUCCAUCUCCAUCCUUAAUUACCCUUACCUGCUGGACAUCCUUCCCAUCUCUAUCCCACUGUCUGGCCAACCUAUAGAGAUUCUUUUCCUCUUCUUUCGUGUCCAACCUGGUGUACAUCUCGUCAUAUGCGUCUUGUUUAGCCUUUGCCACCUCUACCUUUUCCCUCCGUCGGAUCCCAUUGUACUCAUUUUGCCUCUCCUCAGUCCUCUCAGUGUCCCACUUCUUCUUCGCAAAUCUCUUUCCUUGUAUGCCUUACUGUAUUUUGGGGUUCCACCACUAAGUGUCUUCCCCUUUCCUACCAGAAGACACACUAAGUACUGUCCUUCCUGUCUCUGUGAUCAGUUUGGCUGUCGUACUCCAGUCUUCUAGGAGCUUCUUCUGUCCAUCAAUAGCCUGUCUCACCUCUUUCCGAAGGUUCGCACAACAAUCUUCCUUUCUCAGCUUCCACCACAUGGUACUCUGCUCUACCUUUUGUCUUCUUAAUCUUCCUACCCACUACCAGAGUCAUCCUACACACCACCAUCCUAUGCUGUCGAGAACACUCUCCCUCACCAAUACCUUACAGUCAGUAACCACCUUCAGAUUACGUCAUCUGCACAAAAUAUAAUCCACUUGCAUGCGUCUACCUCCGCGCUUGUAGGUCACUGUAUGUUCCCCUCUCUUCUGGAAAUAAGUGUUCACUACAGCCAUUUCCAUUCUUUUUGCAAAGUCCACCAACAUCUGUCCCUCAAAGUUCCUUUCCUGGAUGCCGUACUUACCCAUCACUUCUUCAUCGACCCUGUUUCCUUCACCAACAUGUCCAUUACAAUCUGCACCAAUCACAACUCUCUUUCUCUGGGAUGCUCAAAUCUAUCAUCUAUCUAUUUCCUGCCAGAAUUUCCCUUUCAACUCUAGGUCGCAUCCUAACUGUGGAGCAAAGCCGCUAACCACAUUAUACAUAACAUCCUCAAUUUCAAAUUUCAGUCUCAUCACCUAAUCUGAUACUCUUUUCACCUCCAAGACAUUCUUAGCCAGCUCUUCCUUUAAAAUAAUCCCUAAACCAUUUCUCUUCGCAAAUACUCCGUGGUCGAAUAAUUUAAACCCUGCUCCUAAACUUCUAGCCUUACUACCUUUCCACCUGCUCUCUUGGAUGCACAUUAUAAAAACCUUUCUACUAGUCAUGUCAACUAAAAGAAAAGAAAUGAAAAGAAAUUAUAAUGUUGGUAACCAAUAGCUGCUGGCUAUCAUCUUGGCUUAGGAGGAGUGGAGUUAUUGGUUUGAGGGGGCUGAAACUCCAUUUAUCAUUUGAACCAAACCUUGCAUACUUCUAUUCUGCCAAAAGGUUCUAUCCCUGACAAGCUCGCUGGGCCCUCUUCUUGAGGUUGUUCAAUUUUAUCCUCUCCUUCCUUCCUGUUUCCCACAACAGCAAGCAUGAUGGCCUUUCCCUCAUGUACUCACCCCCAUCCAGCCCUGCUGAACAUAAAACCAUCAUCUGUUCCUACUGGUUGAUCAGGGCUGAUACAUAGAAAAUCCAGCAGAUUGUGAUGAAUGCCUUAGAAACCCAACUGGAUCCCAAGACUGGAAACAAUGUGACAUCUUUCACCCGGCUCAUAUUGCUGAACUCACUUGUCACCUGGGAUCAACCGCAUUAUUUAGUGCUCGUGAAAUAACACUUCUGGUGGCUCGGUCUGUGUUAAGGAAUUUAUUACUAUGUUAGUUAUCAUGAUAAAAGUACAUCAUUACUACUGUACUUGCUGUUAGGAUUGUUUUAUCAUGUGUUUGGUUCUGUUAGUCUUAGUCUGAAUUGUUCUCUUUGUGAGCUGCCUGCGUGUCUCGAAGUGUGACCCAGUGAAACCUGGGAGGCGAUGCCCCCCCUGCCGACCUCAAGCUGAUACUCCUAAACACUGGGAAGCAAUGUCUCCAUUCUGACCUCAGCAUGUUUCCCUUCUGAUCUUAAGCAGAUACUCUUCAACACCGGGAGGAGAUAAUGCCUUUCUACCACAAGAUGAUACCCCCAAAUGCCAUAAACAUGUCUUUAAACAAUGCCCUGCUUUUUCUCUUGUAGUUUUAUCGGGACACUCUUGCAGCCUUGAAGAAACAUGUACCUUCGUGUUUAUGUGCUGUUGUUGUAGCCAUCUGUGUCAGCAUUUUUACUGUGUGAGCUUGUAACCAUGUAACCCUUUGACCUGAGAAAGCAAUAAAAAGAGCAGACAGGGACUACCACUUUGGAAGUCUGAGCGAGAACAGUCAUGCAUUGGGUCUCACAGCUGUCCCUCGCGAGAAAGAAGAUCUUGGUUGGUUUGAGUUCACUCUCUACAGUCCUCAGGCUUGUCUUAGCUGUUUUUCUAGGAACAUCUCUGACAGCCUUAUAAAAGACACUUGGGAAUUCACCCAAGGCUACUCCGUCUGUACCCAAAGGAAGACUCUUCAUCUGCCCCAAGAUGGGCUGCCUAUUCCGUGUCGCCCUUGGUGCAGUGGGGGCAGCAGCUAGCCUGUCUUCUUGUUACUACACUCAGUCUAGCAGCCAUACAGAGUGGGAUAAUCAGUCCCAUGAAGUGGUCCUUCGCUGCAUUGCUGCACGCAACCCCACCCCCUGGAGGACAUUCAUCCCCUGGAUCACCACAUCCACAACCCUCCCACCAGCUCCGCCACUGGUUCAUCCCCGUUCAUGGUCUGUUAUGGUUUCCAUCCACCGUUGUUUAGGGAACACGAGCAUGCAUGUGAUGGAUCACCUACACAGAGUUCAGGCCAUGUGGAAGGAUGUCAGGGCAACUUUAGCUUGGUCUGCUGAAAGUGCUGCUCCCAUGUUCCACGCUUUGCUGACCUCUUCCACCACCUUGCAGUUGAGCCACCCACCUGCUCACUUCACCACAAGCUACACGGUCCAUUUCGACAAACCGACUUUACGGCGCAAAGGUCCAAGUCCAAAUUUCCUUGACAAUAAACCAUUUACCACAAACGUCUCAGCCUCCACUUGCUUCUGGGUUCAUUCACAACUGAUAACUUUUUAUUGUGUAAUAUUUUUUUAACCAUGUUUCUGUUUCUGUGCAAGUUACCAGUAAAUUGCUAGAAAGUCUAUAUAAAAUGUCUUAAUAUUGUAUGGUGGUUUUCUGUAUGAUGUAUGUAUGUAAAAAGCAACAAACGUAUUAUAUAAU